rnacentral:tRNA from 3 species
GUGGCUGUAGCUCAGUUGGUAGAGCCCCGGGUUGUGGUCCCGGUUGUCGAGGGUUCAAGUCCCUUCAGUCACC